GCUGGCGUAGCUCAACGGCAGAGCAGUGGUUUUGUAAACCACAGGUUGGAGGUUCGAUUCCUCUCGCCAGCUCCA
rnacentral:tRNA from 1 species